rnacentral:rRNA from 1 species
GACGAACGCUGGCGGCGUGCCUAAUACAUGCAAGUCGAGCGAUGAAGGAGAUACUUGUAUCUUUUGAAGAGCGGCGAACGGGUGAGUAACGCGUGGGGAAUCUGCCAAUGAGUGGGGGACAACAUUUGGAAACGAAUGCUAAUACCGCAUAAAAUCUAUUGAGACAUCUCAAGAGAUUGAAAGGAACAAUUGUUUCGCUCGUUGAUGAUCCCGCGUUGUAUUAGCUAGUUGGUGAGGUAAGGGCUCACCAAGGCGAUGAUACAUAGCCGACCUGAGAGGGUGAUCGGCCACAUUGGGACUGAGACACGGCCCAAACUCCUACGGGAGGCAGCAGUAGGGAAUCUUCGGCAAUGGACGAAAGUCUGACCGAGCAACGCCGCGUGAGUGAAGAAGGUUUUCGGAUCGUAAAGCUCUGUUGUUGUUAAAGAACGUUGAUGAGAGUGGAAAGUUCAUCAAGUGACGGUAAACAACCAGAAAGGGACGGCUAACUACGUGCCAGCCGCCGCGGUAA